rnacentral:rRNA from 1 species
GGGACGAACGCUGGCGGCGUGCUUAACACAUGCAAGUCGAACGGUGAAGGAGAGCUUGCUCUCCGGAUCAGUGGCGAACGGGUGAGUAACACGUGAGUAACCUGCCCUUGACUCUGGGAUAAGCGUUGGAAACGACGUCUAAUACCGGAUACGAGCUUCAGCCGCAUGGCUAGGAGCUGGAAAGAAUUUCGGUCAAGGAUGGACUCGCGGCCUAUCAGCUAGUUGGUGAGGUAAUGGCUCACCAAGGCGACGACGGGUAGCCGGCCUGAGAGGGUGACCGGCCACACUGGGACUGAGACACGGCCCAGACUCCUACGGGAGGCAGCAGUGGGGAAUAUUGCACAAUGGGCGCAAGCCUGAUGCAGCAACGCCGCGUGGGGACGAAGGCCUUCGGUUGUAAACCGUCGUUUAGUAGGAAGAAGCGAAAGUGACGGUACCUGCAGAAAAAGCAACCGGCUAACGACGUAGCCAGCAGCCGC